GCAUUAGUGAGUUAUAUCCUUACCUGUUAUCUUAGAAAUAAGAUUCCAGUAAAUGAUGAAUGGAUUUAAUGAAUACGUGAUUAAUUCCGUAAUUACUAUGGGACGCAACCCCAUAGAGAAUCCUUUCUGAU